AUACCAGCUGGCUGCAACUGUUUAUUAAAAACACAGCACUGUGCAAACACGAAAGUGGACGUAUACGGUGUGACGCCUGCCCGGUGCCGGAAGGUUAAUUGAUGGGGUUAUCCGUAAGGAGAAGCUCUUGAUCGAAGCCCCGGUAAACGGCGGCCGUAACUAUAACGGUCCUAAGGUAGCGAAAUUCCUUGUCGGGUAAGUUCCGACCUGCACGAAUGGCGUAAUGAUGGCCAGGCUGUCUCCACCCGAGACUCAGUGAAAUUGAACUCGCUGUGAAGAUGCAGUGUACCCGCGGCAAGACGGAAAGACCCCGUGAACCUUUACUAUAGCUUGACACUGAACACUGGUCCUUGAUGUGUAGGAUAGGUGGGAGGCUUUGAAGUGUGGACGCCAGUCUGCAUGGAGCCAUCCUUGAAAUACCACCCUUUAAUGGCUGGUGUUCUAACGUGGACCCGUUACCCGGGUUGCGGACAGUGUCUGGUGGGUAGUUUGACUGGGGCGGUCUCCUCCUAAAGAGUAACGGAGGAGCACGAAGGUUAGCUAAUCCUGGUCGGACAUCAGGAGGUUAGUGCAAAGGCAUAAGCUAGCUUGACUGCGAGAGUGACGGCUCGAGCAGGUGCGAAAGCAGGUCUUAGUGAUCCGGUGGUUCUGAAUGGAAGGGCCAUCGCUCAACGGAUAAAAGGUACUCCGGGGAUAACAGGCUGAUACCGCCCAAGAGUUCAUAUCGACGGCGGUGUUUGGCACCUCGAUGUCGGCUCAUCACAUCCUGGGGCUGAAGUAGGUCCCAAGGGUAUGGCUGUUCGCCAUUUAAAGUGGUACGCGAGCUGGGUUUAGAACGUCGUGAGACAGUUCGGUCCCUAUCUGCCGUGGGCGCUGGAGAAUUGAGGGGGGCUGCUCCUAGUACGAGAGGACCGGAGUGGACGCAUCACUGGUGUUCGGGUUGUCAUGCCAAUGGCAUUGCCCGGUAGCUAAAUGCGGAAGAGAUAAGUGCUGAAAGCA
rnacentral:rRNA from 1 species